CACACACGACCGUACCGCAAACCGACACUGGUGCGCGAGAUGAGUAUUCUAAGGCGCUUGAGAGAACUCAGGAGAAGGAACUCGGCAAAUUGACACCGUAACUUCGGAAGAAGGUGUGCCUUUAGUAGGUGAACCUGUACAAGGGGAGCCCAAUGAGGUUGCAAAAAAUCGGUGGCUGCGACUGUUUAAUAAAAACACAGCACUCUGCAAACACGAAAGUGGACGUAUAGGGUGUGACGCCUGCCCGGUGCUGGAAGAUUAAAUGAUGGGGUGCAAGCUCUUGAUUGAAGUCCCAGUAAACGGCGGCCGUAACAAUAACGGUCCUAAGGUAGCGAAAUUCCUUGUCGGGUAAGUUCCGACCUGCACGAAUGGCGUAACGAUGGCCACACUGUCUCCUCCUGAGACUCAGCGAAGUUGAAAUGUUUGUGAUGAUGCAAUCUCCCCGCGGAAAGACGGAAAGACCCCAUGAACCUUUACUGUAGCUUUGUAUUGGACUUUGAACAGAUCUGUGUAGGAUAGGUGGGAGGCUUUGAAGUGUGGUCGCUAGAUCGCAUGGAGCCAACGUUGAAAUACCACCCUGGUGUGUUUGAGGUUCUAACCUAGGCCCGUAAUCCGGUCGGGGACAGUGCAUGGUAGGCAGUUUGACUGGGGCGGUCUCCUCCCAAAGCGUAACGGAGGAGUUCGAAGGUACGCUAGGUACGGUCGGACAUCGUGCUAAUAGUGCAAUGGCAUAAGCGUGCUUAACUGCGAGACUGACAAGUCGAGCAGAUGCGAAAGCAGGACAUAGUGAUCCGGUGGUUCUGUAUGGAAGGGCCAUCGCUCAACGGAUAAAAGGUACUCUGGGGAUAACAGGCUGAUACCGCCCAAGAGUUCAUAUCGACGGCGGUGUUUGGCACCUCGAUGUCGGCUCAUCUCAUCCUGGGGCUGUAGCCGGUCCCAAGGGUAUGGCUGUUCGCCAUUUAAAGAGGUACGUGAGCUGGGUUUUUAAACGUCGUGAGACAGUUUGGUCCCUAUCUUCCGUGGGCGCUGCAGAUUUGAGGAAGCCUGCUCCUAGUACGAGAGGACCGGAGUGGACACACCUCUGGUGUAUCGGUUGUCACGCCAGUGGCAUUGCCGAGUAGCUAUGUGUGGAAGAGAUAACCGCUGAAAGCAUCUAAGCGGGAAACUCGUUUCAAGAUGAGAUCUGCCGGGGCCUUGAGCCCCCUAAAGAGUCGUUCAAGACCAGGACGUUGAUAGGUCGGGUGUGGAAGCGCAGUAAUGCGUUAAGCUAACCGAUACUAAUUGCUCGUGCGGCUUGACCAU
rnacentral:rRNA from 1 species